rnacentral:rRNA from 1 species
AGAAGGGUUUAUGGUGGAUGCCUUGGCGUAUAGGAGCGAAGAAGGCCGUGAUAAGCUGCGAAAAGCUGCGGGAAGGAGCAAACAUCCUGAGAUCCGCAGAUUGCCGAAUGGGGUAACCCAGCAGACAGUAGUCUGUUACUAGUAUCUGAAUAUAUAGGAUAUUAGAGCGAUACUAGGGGAACUGAACCAUCUAAGUACCCUGGGAAUAGAAAUCAAUAUGAGAUUCCGGUAGUAGCGGCGAGCGAAAUCGGAAGAGUCUAAACCGUAGUAAUACGGGGUUGUAGGGCUGUUUGGGGGUAACCCGCAGAGUGAUAAAGCUGUUACAUAGCAGAACGGCAUGGAAAGGCCGGACAAAGAGGGUGAGAUCCCCGUAAGCGAAAUGGAAUAGCCUCUGUGAAACAGUACCUGAGUACAGCGGGGCACGAGAAACCCUGCCGGAAUCCGGGUCGACCACGAUCCAAGACUAAAUAUACUAUACGACCGAUAGAGCAGAAGUACCGUGAGGGAAAGGUGAAAAGAACCCCGGUGAGGGGAGUGAAAGAGAACCUGAAACCGUAAACCCACAACAGGUCAAAGCAUAUAUACCGCAAGGGAUAUGUGUGAUGGCGUGCCUUUUGUAGAAUGAGCCUGCGAGUUAUGUUAGCAUGCAAGGUUAAGGGAGUGAAAUUCCGGAGCCGCAGGGAAACCGAGUCUGAAAAGGGCGAAUGAGUAUGUUGGCAUAGACCCGAAGCCAAGUGAUCUAGUUAUGCGCAGGCUGAAAGUCAGGUAAAACUGAGUGGAGGGCCGAACCCUAGUCUGUUAAAAAAGGCAGGGAUGACGUGUGACUUGGAGCGAAAGACUAAACAAACUUGGAAAUAGCUGGCUCUCCCCGAAAUGCCUUGAGGGACAGCCUCAUCAAAAUCUCAAGAAGGUAGAGCACUGGAUGGACUAGGGGGCUUCACCGCCUACCAAACCCAAUCAAACUCCGAAUGUCUUGAGACAACUGAUGGGAGUGAGACUGCGGGCGACAAGGUUCGUAGUCGAGAGGGAAACAGCCCAGACCGUCAGCUAAGGUCCCUAAAUAUCGCUAAGUGUGAAAUGAUGUGUGAUGGCGAAGACAGCCAGGAGGUUGGCUUAGAAGCAGCCAUUCCUUAAAAGAGUGCGUAAUAGCUCACUGGUCGAGUCAUGAUGCGCAGAUAAUGUAACGGGGCUAAGCGAUAUACCGAAGCUACGGAUUCAUAUGGUGUUUACAUUGUAUGGAUGGUAGGGGAGCAUUCCACAGACCU